rnacentral:rRNA from 1 species
ACGUAGAAUGCGAGCGUUAAACGGAAUUACUGGGCGUAAAGCGUGCGCAGGCGGUUCGCUAAAACAAAUAUAAAAUCCCCGAACUUAACCUAGGAAUGGCGCUUGUGACUGGCGGGCUGGAGUACGGCAGAGGGGGGUGGAAUUCCACGUGUAGCAGUGAAAUGCGUAGAGAUGUGGAGGAACACCGAUGGCGAAGGCAGCCCCCUGGGCCGAUACUGACGCUCAUGCACGAAAGCGUGGGGAGCAAACAG